GGUCGUGAGGAGACGUCGGGGUGCCCAAGGCUGAGCGGGCACCGCCUGACCCCAGGCUUCUCCUCCACCGACGCCUCUCAGGAGAAGCGGUGUUCUGAGUUUGGGUUGCGGACCGGGUUGAGGAUUCUGGUGUCCGGGUGACACCGCCUGCCCCUCUGUGCCUCGCUGUUUGCUGACAGUGGGCCGUUUAAAGCGGACUUAGAGGGAAGAGCCGGUUUCUCGAGUACCGGCCCUGGGUUUUGCAGGGAGAGGGCGGGACCUUCCUGGGGGGAGGUGGGCUGAGGAAGAAAGUCCUGGGUGUGAGAAAUGGACGCCCGUGCUCCCCGCAUCGCAUGGGGCGGCUGCGCGGGGGUCCUGGUCGGGGGUGGGUGAGGGCGAGCAGGACCUUGCAGAUGGGUUGGGGUCGCCAUCGUCAGACAGCGUGCAGACGGAGUCAGGCUGCACGGUGCUCUUGACAGAACCGUCGGCCUUGCCUUUCUUGACUGGUGGGUUUCCUGAAGAUUCUUCCCAGUGGUUGAGGGGGGCUGCCCACCCAGACUUGCUGGCUGUGAAACUUCUGCAGAGCUGGGGUUUAGGAAGGAAGUGUUCUGAGCUUUGCGGCGAAGGUGGGUGUCCCUGAAACCAGAUGGCACAGAGGAAAGCGGUUCAUGACCCCACAGGCAGCCCCCACUUCCCAGUGCCCGGCGAGGGUCUGUGGGCCCUGAGGGGGCAGGACUGUGGGAGAGGACUGCAGAGUGGGCAGGAGAAGCAGAGCGGGGGGAACCCUCGCUACUGGGUGGUUCUUUGCAGGAGUGGAUGUCCCGACCCCUGGGGCAGGAAGGGGCAGUUGUAGGGUGAUGGGCUGGAGUGAGCCGUGGGCCCAGCGGGCAGCAGGGGUGAUGCAGGCACAUGCGGUGUGGGGCAGCUGAGGGCCGAGGGGCUGCAGCUUCUGAGUGCCGUACCUUCCGGGGGGUCGCAGCCCCCAGCCCCCACGUGUGCAAGUGUGUACCUUCAUAGGGCGUAUGUGUAUGUGUGUGACUGUGUGUGUGCUGUGUGGACAGCUGCAAGGAUCAGAAUCCUGGUUCCCAUGUACCCUGCCCUCUGCUGGGGUGGGCGGUUCCGCCCUUGCGGAAUUCCGGGCCAAUGACGGCCGUGACCACCUUCUGCCUCGGAGAGGCCGCUCUGCAGAGAGGCUGGGGGAGAGCGUGGAGGAGCGGGCAGCUGGGACGUAGGAAGAGGUUUGGGGGUCACACUGGCCCUCAAACUAGAAAUGGGAGAUGGGGGCCCGGCCAGGCAGGACCGAGACGCCUGCCUCCGCAAAGGGAGAGACCUGUCACGUGAUACCCAGGCUUGGUGGUCCUGAUGCGUCUCUGCUUCCUUCUGCAGUCGUCCUGCCGGGCUCCUGAUGACCCCUGUGCUACGGAGACGUCGUCCUAACCCACCUCUGACUGAUUCCACCCUGACCCCCAGCAGAGCGGUGUCUCCAAUGAGAGUAUGAGAUAACUUUAAAAAAUUCAAAAAGCCUUUGCUCCCUUGAUUACGAAGACGAGGACGAGGAUGACGCCCGAGCGAAGACGGCCGUGUCCUCCCCACGUGACCCCCACGGCCCGCAGCCCCGGCCCGUCGGCCUUAGCCCGAGGGCCUCACUGGAGUGGGUGACCGCCGAGGGUGAGGGCUGGAGUGGCGGGGACCCUAGUGACUGGGACAGCGCCGGGGAGGAGGGUGCCUUCCCUCUGGACCGCAGCCGUGAGCUGGACCUGGAGCAGAUCGAGAAUAACUGAGCGCCGGGCAGGGGGAGCAGCGUGGGGGCUGGCGCUCCGUUUCUUCCCCGUGAAUGUGCUUUUCGGACACGAGGUGUCACUGUGGUGCAGUCUCUCCUAAAGAAGUAUUUUGCAUUUUUAUGGCUUUUACAGUUCUGAGAAAGCGUCUCUAUUUUGACAUGAAUUUUCGAAAGGGCGUUCUGUUAACUGGAGUCUGUGUGCAGACCCCAGCCUGGGGUUGUGUUCCUUUUGUAAACUGCUGGCUGUGAAGGGCCUGUGUGUGGUGUAGCCGUGGGAAACCUGUCCCCCGUGUACUGAACCCCUGGCCUACACUGCCCGCUCCUCCUGCUGUAAGGAGCAGGGCCACGGCGCGGGCUGCCGGCCAGGGUCGGUGCUCUCUGUGCUGAGGACUUGGGACAGGCCUUGAGGGUGGUGGCCUUGGCCACCCCACUCUGUCACUUCAAUAAAAGGCAUUUGCUUUGCA